UCUCGGGGACCGGCCCCAAGUCGGGGAGACCGGUCCCUCCGCGCAAAUUCUGCCCAGUGAAGGCAGGUUGAGAGAUGAAAAGUUGAGGGGCUAAACUGGAUUUUCUUAUAUUAGAGGGGCUUAUGAGCCCACUCCCUCUCUCAUUCUCUCAUUUCUCUCUUUCCCUCUCUCACACUCUCUUACUCUCCCUCUCUCUCUCUAGAAAGAGAAGAAGAACAAGGAGAACAGGAAGGAGAGGAAGGAAAAGGAGAAGAAGAAAAGGAAGAAGGAGAAUGUGGAGAUCAAGGAGAAGGCUUUAAAUAUCUUCCUCUCCCUCUCCUCUUCCCAUUGGUGUAGCUCAAGAGGUAAGCUACUAAACCCUAGCUUUGUAAACUUAGGGUUUUGGGUUUUGAUGCUUUGGAAUAGGUCAAAUAGACCCUAAGCAUGCUUCUAA
rnacentral:lncRNA from 1 species